rnacentral:rRNA from 1 species
UUAAGCAUAUCAAUAAGCGGAGGAAAAGAAACCAACAGGGAUUGCCUUAGUAACGGCGAGUGAAGCGGCAAAAGCUCAAAUUUGAAAUCUGGCACCUUCGGUGUCCGAGUUGUAAUUUGAAGAAGGUAACUUUGGAGUUGGCUCUUGUCUAUGUUCCUUGGAACAGGACGUCACAGAGGGUGAGAAUCCCGUGCGAUGAGAUGCCCAAUUCUAUGUAAAGUGCUUUCGAAGAGUCGAGUUGUUUGGGAAUGCAGCUCUAAGUGGGUGGUAAAUUCCAUCUAAAGCUAAAUAUUGGCGAGAGACCGAUAGCGAACAAGUACAGUGAUGGAAAGAUGAAAAGAACUUUGAAAAGAGAGUGAAAAAGUACGUGAAAUUGUUGAAAGGGAAGGGCUUGAGAUCAGACUUGGUAUUUUGCGAUCCUUUCCUUCUUGGUUGGGUUCCUCGCAGCUUACUGGGCCAGCAUCGGUUUGGAUGGUAGGAUAAUGACUAAGGAAUGUGGCUCUACUUCGGUGGAGUGUUAUAGCCUUGGUUGAUACUGCCUGUCUAGACCGAGGACUGCGUCUUUUGACUAGGAUGUUGGCAUAAUGAUCUUAAGCCACCCGU